rnacentral:rRNA from 1 species
GUGAGUGGCGAACGGGUGAGUAACACGUGGACAACCUACCUCAAGGCUGGGGAUAACAUUUGGAAACAGAUGCUAAUACCGAAUAAAACUUAGUGUCGCAUGACACAAAGUUAAAAGGCGCUUCGGCGUCACCUAGAGAUGGAUCCGCGGUGCAUUAGUUAGUUGGUGGGGUAAAGGCCUACCAAGACAAUGAUGCAUAGCCGAGUUGAGAGACUGAUCGGCCACAUUGGGACUGAGACACGGCCCAAACUCCUACGGGAGGCUGCAGUAGGGAAUCUUCCACAAUGGGCGAAAGCCUGAUGGAGCAACGCCGCGUGUGUGAUGAAGGCUUUCGGGUCGUAAAGCACUGUUGUAUGGGAAGAACAGCUAGAAUAGGAAAUGAUUUUAGUUUGACGGUACCAUACCAGAAAGGGACGGCUAAAUACGUGCCAGCAGCCGCGGUAAUACAA